GUGGGAUUGGUCUGAAUUCCUUUGGAGCAGGUGGGAUUGGUCCAAAUUCCUUUGGAGCAGGUGGGAUUGGUCCGAAUUCCUUUGGAGCAGGUGGGAUUGGUCCGAAUUCCUUUGGGAGCAGGUGGGAUUGGUCCGAAUUCCUUUGGGAGCAGGUGGGAUUGGUCCGAAUUCCUUUGGAGCAGGUGGGAUUGGUCAGAAUUCCUUUGGGAGCAGGUGGGAUUGGUUAGAAUUCCUUUAGGAGCAGGUGGGAUUGGUCAGAAUUCCUUUGAAGCAUGUGGGAUUGGUCAGAAUUCCUUUGAAGCAGGUGGGAUUGGUCCGAAUUCCUUUGGGAAUAGGUGGGAUUGGUCAGAAUAUC
ensembl:lncRNA